rnacentral:rRNA from 1 species
UGAGGGAUAUUGGUCAAUGGGCGCAAGCCUGAACCAGCGACGCCGCGUGGGUGAAGAAGGUCUUCGGAUCGUAAAGCCCUUUUCCCACUGAAGAGGAAGGACGGUAGGUGGGGAAGAAGUCUCGGCUAACUACGUGCCAGCAGCCGCGGUAAAACGUAGGAGACAAGCGUUAUCCGGAGUUACUGGGCGUAAAGGGCGUGCAGGUGGCGUCUUAAGUCUGUUGUGAAAGCGCUUGGCUUAACCGGGCGAGGCCAAUGGAGACUGAGAGGCUGGAGGACGGCGGAGGGGUGUGGAAUUCCGGGUGUAGUGGUGAAAUGCGUAGAGAUCCGGAGGAACACCAGAGGCGAAGGCGGCACUCUAAGCCGUACCUGACACUGAGACGCGACAGCACGGGGAGCAAACG